rnacentral:miRNA from 1 species
CAUAUGAACCUGAGCAUCCCGAA